UGCAAAUACUAUAUGCAAUGCUUGUGUGAGUUGUGUGUAACGGGAUUGUGGCAUUGACCACAUUAUUUAGCUCAACAAAUUAAAGCUUAGUCACAUGUAUGUGAAAUGGGCAACUUGUCUAUUGUGCCCAACCAUAUUCCUUUAUUUUGCAGGCAUUGCUUCAUGUUAUAUAUUGGGACUCGCUACCUGACAUGCAAGAGCUUACUGGGUUGAACUCAAAAUGGGCAACUACCUUGAUGGCUCAGCAUCUACUAGCGGCAGCUGAUCGGUAUGGCUUAGAGAGGCUUAGGCUGAUGUGUGAAACAACUCUCUGUGAAGUCGUUGCAAUAAAUACUGUGGCUACAACUUUAGCCUUAGCAGAGCAGCACCAUUGUUUCCAGCUUAAAGCAGUCUGUCUGAAAUUUAUUGCAAGGCCUGAAAAUCUCAGAGGUGUGUUUUCCUUCUUUGAGCUUUUUGUGUUAUGUGCUUAUAGCAUAACACCAAUGCAGCUAAGGGGUAAUUUGGGCAUUAAAAGGUCUGGAAGUGGAUCCAUGUCAUAGAGACAACACAAUUUUAUCUGUUUAUCACAACCAUCACCUUUUAUCCAGGCUUAGGACCGGCUAUGUAUAUAGCAUAAAUCACACACAGGCAAGCUUAAAAGGGUCUGGAAGUAUUGUACCAAAAAACAAAAGUCUGAAAGUCAAAACGUAAAAAACAGUUAACUUUGUUGCUGAUAGUUAUGUUUGUCACCUACUCCCUAUUAUUAUGUCCUGCAUCUAUUAGGAUGUAGGAUCUUUUUAACGCUUUUGCGUUAGUUUUUCAUUCAGAACUAUAAGUCUAUAACCAUCAACUGAUGUAUUUUCUUCCCUUUUGUUUCUUCAGCUGUGAUGCAAACUGAUGGUUUUGAGUACUUAAAGGAAAGUUGCCCAGCGGUUCUCACAGAGCUAUUGGAGUAUGUGGCCAGGGUUACGGAGCAUUCAGACUUCAUGUGUAAGCACAGGAAUGACGCAAUACUUGAUGGCAGUGACAUAAAUGGAAGGAGGGUGAAACAAAGGCUAUAAUGUGAACACUCUUCUGUACAACCCUCCUCCCAAUCCCCUUUAAAAAAACAAUGAAAGCCAUGGAUUGAGGGAGAUGAUAUGAUUUUACAGGACCAUAAGAAGUUCUAAAUUUUCUUAGCUUUAAUGUCUAGUUGUUGUAAAUGUAGUUUGUUUUGGUGCUGCUGCAGAGGUCCGUUUCACUGUAGGUUUCUGUUAUCUUGACUUUUAGUAAAACAUUUGUUUAAAGAUAUUGUUGACUACCUCUACUUUUAGCGUUCUUUUUACAUUUUGAUUUAUGGUUUCCCGUUAGUAUUGGAUUCAACGUUGGUUAACCGAAAAGUGUUAAGUUUUGGACUUUGGGUGGAAAAAAGUAUGGUGUCAUUAUGCGUUGUUUUGGGUUGGUGUUGUUCAGCUACUUAUGCUUCCAAUGAUAUAUAUAUUCAAAUCCUUAGACUGUAAGUAAAGUUCACCCGCACAAAAAAUUCAUGUGGUCGAAUGAACCAUACAUUAUUGUUUACAAGGGUAGUUUUAGAAUUUAGAUAGCAAGUGUUUUUAUGAAACCAAAUUUGAAAUGUCAUAUAUUGAUCAAUUAAAGAGCCUGUGUUAGUGAAAAAUUAUUUUGAUUUUUUGUUCAUUCUAGACAAAUGUUCUCAUAUCUAUUUGUAGUUCACUAUCAAGAAAAUCUUUUUUGUGAGAGGAGACCGAUCAACGUUCAAACUAGGUUUUUUUUUUCCUUUUUUAUGUGAACAAUGUUCAACCUUCAAACCAGCAUUAAUGUUUCAUCCGACAGAUGGGGUAGACAAUCAAACAGUUGCACCAAAAAGAUCUUUCUCUUAUAUUUGUUCCACUCUUCAAAUUCUAUUAAGACAAGGACAUGGUUUAGCCAAAUCCUCCAUAAUUAUUUUUCUGAAAGCUACACUAUAUUCAGUUUUAAUAUAAGUAGUACUCUUAAGUCUCGAUACUUUUAAUGCUAAAUUGGUAUUCAAAGAUCAUCAAUCUCGUACACUUUUUUGUCUAACUACAUAUAUGCUCGAAAGAGGAUAAUCUUAUUCAAUGCCAACUCAAAAUCUUAUUGAACCAAUCACUCUUUGGUGUCACAUUUUUAUUAAAUAAAACAUUUAAAAAAUAUAUAAGAUGUGGCUCCAUAGAUAAGAGUGUAUCAAUUUUCAGCCAUACAUGCAAAAUCAGGAUUGAGUUCUGACAUGGGUCUGGUCCCCUAUAAUCUCAUGGCCCAUUAGCCCUACAUACCCACGUGUAAUAAAUAUAGACCAAGAACUGGUAUAGGGUAUAGCUCAAUGCAACUCACUCUGUCUGGUCUUGAAAUAACAAACUAACCCAUGUGGGUCAUGUUGUCCUUUAAUGUGAACACACAACACAGUUUAUGAUUAUCUUCUUCUUCUCUCUUCAACAUGAUUAGGUGACUUUGAACCCCUUGAUGUGGUUUAUGGCAAUAACGACAAGGGUCUGGUUCUGCUUUGUGCAAACACAGUACACGUUAUCAUUGACUCUACUAAGGGUAAGGGUCAGGGAUGGACCUUCAAGUUAUUGUUCCAAUCAAGAUACAUGAUUAUAUUUUGGGGUGGCCUCCUCUAGAAAAAAAGAAUGUUUUAUCAGUGUAUCCAACUUCUAUGAGAGGAUGAAUAUAUCGAUAGUGUUAUUAGUAUUUCAAUUGAUGCAUAUUAAUAGUUUUAUUAAAGUUGUGGUCAGCAUAACUAUCGAAAUCACAACAUUGUAAUCAUAAUUAUACAUUCAUGAACAUUUUUAUUACUUAAUUAUUAUUGUGCAAUGAGUCAUGAACGUGCUAAGAUAUAAAAAACAUAGUGACGUGCUAGUGUUUUAGUUGUGUCAUUCACUGCUGAGGAUAUUUUAAAAUGUGAUUAUGAUAAUGUUAAUUAAUAAUGACUACUAAAGAAAGAAGGUAAUUAAAUAUGAUACAGGAUGUGAAUUCAUAUUUUUGUCUCUAUCCGACCAUAAAUAUCAAACCUAGUCAUAGACAUAUGAGACCCAACCAUACUUAGUCUCGAUUAUGGUUGGGACAUACUGAGUGAGCGGAUAGGACAAUUAAUGCUCACCUCAGUUAUCUAUUGUGAUGGGAUUGUUAUCAUUCAACAUAGGGGAAAUGCUUGUGCUAAGUUUGGUGCUAAUCAAAUGUGGGGUUUGGAACUCAUCAUCAGCUUCCUAGAGUCCUUGGUCCUCUCCUCUCACCACACUCCAUGAGAAUCAUCUUCCUCAUCGUGUAUUUUUUAUUUUGAUGCUUUCUUUGAUUUCCUAUCUCACCAAAAAAAUAAACAAAAAUGUGCCUUAAAAUUUUAGAUUUUAUAAAAAAGAAAACGUGAUUUAUAUUUUCUUGUGAGAACGGAAAACUAAGGCGCAGCCAAACCUGACUAAAUUCUACUGCCUCGUAACAUCUUCGCUUUUUAGACUUAAGUACCGUUGGCGUUUGUGAUACACGUUCCAAAAAGAAAGCGAGUCGGCGAAACCAGAUAGAUCAGAACCACUCGCAAGGCGCGUCACCGCCACAGCAAUUUCCCUCGUCUGGAAUUAUUAUUUAUAACCAUCUUCGUAUCUUCUUACAUUAUAUUUUCUCGUUCAUUUCUCUCUCUCUCUCUCUUUCUCUAUCAGAAUCGAAACCCUAGAAAAUUCCUAUCUCCCGAUUCAAUCAAUUUCCCCUCACCGAACCCCAUAUUUUUUCAUCAAUCCUUCACUUUCCCCUUGUAAAGUUUCACACUUUACCCAAUUCCCCAACUCUAACGUAACCAAUUGGUACCAGAUUUCUCACACAGAUCCUUCAACCGGGUUUCGAUUCUGAGCAAUUCCAACCCAAUUCUGAUUAUUCAUUAGUUGUGGCUUUCGCAUGGGUAAGAUUCUCCAAGAAACGUCGACGCCAUCCUCCAAUUCCUCAUUCCAUUCAUCUUCUUCCGCUCCUGCAACAACGUUGUCUACUUCGAUUACCGACACAGUGAGAGGGUCCCACCAGUUUAAGAUUACUGGGUAUUCUUUGUCGAAGGGAAUUGGGAUCGGAAAAUACAUAGCGUCUGAGACUUUCUCUGUUGGAGGGUACGAUUGGGCGAUCUAUUUCUACCCUGAUGGGAAGAGCGUUGAGGACAAUGCUACAUAUGUUUCGCUCUUCAUUGCGCUCGCGAGCGAAGGAACCGAUGUUAGAGCACUUUUUGAGUUGACCCUUUUGGAUCAGAGUGGGAAGGAGAGGCAUAAGGUUCAUAGCCAUUUUGAGAGGACUCUUGAGAGCGGGCCUUAUACGUUGAAAUAUCGUGGCAGCAUGUGGUGGGUUCUUUUUUUAUUUUCCCUUGAAGAUUAUUCGCCGAUUUCCUUUUUUUCAUUUGAAGUUUGAUCUUGAUUUCCUUAGUUUCAUGAAUUAAUGUUGUUUAGGCAUCACCAAUCAAAAUGCGUGUUAAUUGAUUAAAUUAUUAAUUUAAAAAACAAAGUCUUACUGCAAUUAUUGUUAUGUUAAAAUUUUGAUUGGUUGUGUCGUGCAAUCAAUAUACUGGUUCAACUGAAAAAAUAAAUCAUUUAUAGGUUUCCGUAUGCCGGGUACUCCGAUAAGUUCCUACCUACUAUGGGUAUAUAGACGUAUAGGUGUUUAUAUGUGAAAUUUUGAAGACCUGAUGGGAAAUUUUAAUCGUUGGAAAUUGUCAUCAUAUAUUUUGCUUGUAGUGGAUAAGAUCAUAGUAUGUUCCGGAAUGUCUAUUACAUACUUGCAUUGUUUGUAAACUAAAUCUUUGUUCUUUCAAGGGACAACCGAAGUGUUGUUUUUCCACUUGUGGUGUUGUUUUAUACUAAAAUUGUGACACUUGGAAAACGUCAUCACAAGCACCUAUAGAACAUCCAAGGUCCGUCCUUUUUCAACACUUCAGAUUACUUGUGGGCUGGGCUGCUUUGAACGCAUAUGUCAAUAUAUGUGUGAAAAUGUUUUAGGGCACUCUGCCUUUGAAUGCAUUUGCCAAAUACAUUAUUGGAAUGCUAGAUUUAUGGAACUUCUUAGUAACAAGGGAAAAUGAACAGUUUGGUAGAGGCUAACUGUUUGAAUUGGGGUGUUGCAGGGGUUACAAGCGGUUUUUUAAGAGGACAGCACUAGAGACAUCGGACUACCUUAAAGAUGAUUGCCUCAGUGUUAAUUGUAGCGUUGGUGUUGUGAAGUCACACACAGAGGGCCCUAAAAUAUACUCCGUAGCAGUACCACCUUCUAACAUGGGUCAGCAUUUUGGGCAGCUACUGGAAAGUAGGAAAGGCAGUGAUGUGAGUUUUGAAGUGAAUGGGGAAAUCUUCAAUGCUCAUAAAUUGGUAUUAGCAGCUCGCUCGCCUGUUUUCAGAGCCCAACUCUUUGGUCCUAUGAAAGAUCAGAAUACUAAGUGUAUAAAAGUUGAAGAUAUUGAGGCUCCAGUUUUCAAGGUUUGAAUAAAUGAUCUUUGGGCUUCCUUUUUUAUUGAUGUUAGUAAUGUGGCUGCAAAAAUAUGUCUUGGUUAUCAUUUCUGUUUAUAUGCCCUGAUAUACACAUUUGCUUCAUAGUUGUUGGAUUUCCCCCCGAUUACCAUUGUUAGGCAUAUUGUUACAUCUUAAUCUAGACCAGUUGUGGUGUAUUGUUUUGAAUUGUGUUUCCAAAACAGUAUGUUCUUUUAAAUAUUGUGUAAGUGCUAAGUAGGAAUGAAACCAGGCAAUUUCUUUUUAAUAAUUUAUGUAUAUUCAAAAGUUGAUGUUUGUUUUCUCAAUUGGUCAUUAACAACAUGCAUUUACAUGCAAAUACUAUAUGCAAUGCUUGUGUGAGUUGUGUGUAACGGGAUUGUGGCAUUGACCACAUUAUUUAGCUCAACAAAUUAAAGCUUAGUCACAUGUAUGUGAAAUGGGCAACUUGUCUAUUGUGCCCAACCAUAUUCCUUUAUUUUGCAGGCAUUGCUUCAUGUUAUAUAUUGGGACUCGCUACCUGACAUGCAAGAGCUUACUGGGUUGAACUCAAAAUGGGCAACUACCUUGAUGGCUCAGCAUCUACUAGCGGCAGCUGAUCGGUAUGGCUUAGAGAGGCUUAGGCUGAUGUGUGAAACAACUCUCUGUGAA
rnacentral:lncRNA from 1 species